CCUCAAUACCUUCUGGGCACCGACCUGACAGCGGACAUCUCGCUGCUGAAUUCCUCUUCCACAUGUAACUGAACACUAAGACCAAACAAGAAGGAUUGUAUCUACAACAGAGGUUAAUGGAGAAAGCUUUACAUACAUGUGUGUUCCAGAUGCCUAUGGGUAAAAUUGGUAAUUUAUUAGCUUAAAGAACGUAGAGCACAUGUCUACUUGAAGCAGUGGGGGAGAGGUCUGACCUUUUGCUAAGUGGAAUCACAUUUAUUUGAAGGCAUUUAGAUUUGGUCAACAUUGAAGUAGCGCCGCAAAUCCUGCAAUCUGCAGUAAGUUACUGAAAGGACAUCAGUCUGCAGCGUUAACCUGCCUGUUUUACUGCACAUUGAAAGAACCCUCAUGAGUCUACAUAAGAUGACGUUUUAAGCUACGGAUGUAUCACAAUUCCGAGCGGAAUUUAAUAUCUACAUGGCGCAUGUCUCACCAUCAUUGGAUCUAUUUGCUUUUGUGCCAGAACGGAAUGGAUGUAGGUGACCACGUCAGUAAACUCCUAUGGAAUAACGUCAGUUUCGUCCUUUUUCUAUCUAUACUGGUAAGUGCAAUGGCCUGAGACGGUGGACAAAAGACCGGAUAAUAGGGAAUAAAUGAAGAGUGACAGAGGAAGAAAGAGGGGAGAUGAAAGAGACUGAGACUGAAAAGAGCUGAAGGGGCCAAAGUGGUAAAUCUAUAGAAAAUGUCAGGUUGAAAAGAACGAUGUGUCUUUUGUGACUUAUCUACAAUGGCGAGUAUUCAUUAAACAGGAGACCUCAACAUGGUGUGCUCGCCAUGCAAAACAAGGGAUCAAAGCCUGAGGCAUCUUAGUGCUAUGUGUAGUGUACGUAUUAAAUUGAUGGUAAACUCGUAGCUACCGCAACUGCAUUGAA